UUUGACCUCACUGUUAUCUGUAACUGGAAUGGCCUCACCAUGCAGAAUUUGACCAGGGAUUCACAAAUGCAUCCACAAGAAUCCAAACACCUCUCAGGACCUUGACGUGGAAGAGAUUCUGAUGCUGCCAGACCAAUGAUCUGUCUCAUCACCUCCAAGCUUUGGGCCAUGUGUUGGAUGGACAAGACCGCCUACCACUCAAUGGAUGUUAAGAAAUGAAAAAAACCUUUACAACCUGGGAUGAGAAGAGAGGGGGAGGAGACUGAGGAGGAAUGUCUGAAAGUAUACACUAAAACUGGGGAGAAAAACUGGGGGAACAAAGCUGAGCAAGG